rnacentral:rRNA from 1 species
CUGGGAGUGGCUUUCGAGUCACAACCAGCAGCUCUGUAAUUGAGUUCACAGGUCAAACGAUUGCGGCCACCCCAGGCGUGGUUUUGAUAUGAUCGGCCCCAUCCCAUGUCGGAUGGCGAAAUUUUUUCGN